rnacentral:lncRNA from 1 species
CCAUCGGGUGUGUCGGGUACAGGUACAAGAAGGCAACACUCAUACGUGUGUAUCCGCAUAAAUGCAUAAUAAUUCAUUCUAAUUGGUAAGUCCCACGUGUCAUUCACUAAAAAGGAAUAAUCACUACCGUUUAACCCUAGUCUAACUGGGCUGCCUAAAAGUGCGUUAUAUCGACUAGAGGGGGAUGAAUAGAAGAUUUUUAUAAUUUCAUCACUAAGAAAAUCCCUAGUGAGGAAAGUCCUCAGUCAUGAAUUGAGUGCAGCGGAAAUAAUAUAGGAUCAGGUGUGCAAAAUCGUCUACAGCAAAAUACUCGAUGAGAUUUUACAAAUUCGGUUUGCACAGUUCGCAAGUACAGAGUAAGCAGGUGAAGAUUAACUCAAGUGAAGAAUUUGAGGUUGAGGAAAUUUAGAGAAAGCCUUCAGAUAAAUUCUUCAAACAGUACAGAUGAAAGUCUUCAACAUACAAUUGAGGAAAUGAGAAGGUUGAAGAAAUAGAACCCGUAGCUUGAUGAAGACAGUUGUUGCUGACCCGGUUCCAACUGUUGUGACACUUGUACGUCUGGUUCGGAACGGCUUGGUAUUAAAACUAAAGGACACACAGUCCCUACCGUAUUCUCCUUGAGCUAAGGACACACAGUCCUCGCCCAACACUCGUGGUAAGCCUUCAGGGCAGACUUCCAAACCCUAACAAAUUCAGUCACCCGACGAUCCACAAUUGACUGCUGGAUGCUCUGGACCAUGACGCCUAACCGUUUGGAGGAUACACAGUCCUCAAUGGUAACAAGCGUCGGUUCCACACAGGAACAACUUCUUUAAUGAUGCUCAAUCACUUAGGUUUUUGGUUUGGGUUUGGUGUUUGGGGUAUUUCCUCACUUGAUGAUUUUCUCUCGAAGACUCUGAGGAAUUUGGGUUGCUCUAAAUGACAAGUGUCAGUUUCUCUGAGAG